UGCCAGCAGCCGCGGUAAUACGUAGGGAGCAAGCGUUGUCCGGAAUUAUUGGGCGUAAAGGGUGCGUAGGCGGUAUAUCAAGUCAGAUGUGAAAUCCCCGGGCUUAACUCGGGACGUGCAUUUGAAACUGGUAUACUUGAGUAAAGAAGAGGUAAGUGGAAUUCCUAGUGUAGCGGUGGAAUGCGUAGAUAUUAGGAGGAACACCAGUGGCGAAGGCGACUUACUGGUCUUUUACUGACGCUGAGAUGCGAAAGCUAGGGUAUCAAACGGGAUUAGAUA
rnacentral:rRNA from 1 species